CAGCCGUAAACAAUGUGCGUUAGGUGUGUCGGUAACCACGUGUUACUGAUGCGCCGAAGAGAAAUCGUGAAACGCACCACCUGGGAAGUACGGUCGCAAGGCUGAAACUUAAAGGAAUUGGCGGGGGAGCACCACAACAGGUGGAGCCUGCGGUUUAAUUGGAUUCAACGCCGGACAUCUCACCGGAUAAGACAGCUGAAUGAUUGUCAAUCUGAAGGUUUUACAUGACUAGCUGAGAGGAGGUGCAUGGCGGUCAGUGACU
rnacentral:rRNA from 1 species